GAAAUAGGAGAAUGACUCUUUCUUACAAGCCAGGCAGGAGAGUGAAAGAAAGGAGGAAAGAACCAAAGACCUAUUGCCGAUUACCGAGGGAAAGAGUUCAAGAAAAGAGAGGUGAACAAUCACUUCCUCAGUCAGAAUAACUCACACUAAGAGAACAAGGGGUUAGUCGAAUUCAGCCUUCUUGCUUGCUUUCGUCUUUACAGGAGAGUGAAAGAAAGGAGAAAGAUAAGUUCCAAAUAGGUUACAGAGUUUAGGAGGAGGCUCAUGAGCUUGACCUUUGCCAGCUGCUUUACCUAGUGAAAGAGUGAAAUCAGUCUAAUUCAUCCUUGUUACAGGAGGGAGAGCAAAAGAAUCUUUGAAGUCCAAUGCAGGGUGUAGAUCAUCUUCUCUUCUUUAUCUGGGCUAAUAUAAUAACUGACUUAAACUUAGUGUUGUGAGACCAAUAGAAUAAUGGAAUCUCAGCCAGCUGCUUUACCUAGUGAAAGAGUGAAAUCCAAUCCGGUUCAUGAGUUUACAGUGAAAGAAAAGAAAACGAAUGAAUUGAAUCAAUCAGGAAAAGGAGAAGACAGGA